rnacentral:rRNA from 1 species
GGGUCAGUAGGUUGGUCGUGCCACCGGGACGUACUGGUCUCACUGAUUCCUCCUUCCUGAAGAACCGUAAUGCCAUUAAUUUGGUGUUGCGGGGAAACAGGACUGUUACUUUGAAAAAAUUAGAGUGUUUAAAGCAAGCUAACGCUUGAAUACAUUAGCAUGGAAUAAUGAAAUAGGACGAUCGAUCCUAUUUUGCUGGUUUCUAGGAUUGACGCA